ACAACCUCGUGCAGCUUUCACAGCAUCCUGAGACAGCUGCUGACCCAAAGAUGUAAGUCCAUGGCUUCUGAAAUGUCUCAGUCUGUAAGAACAGCACCUACAGCCAUCUGCAAGGAAUUUGGUCUUGUUUGGUAAUGGUUCUCAAGAUCAUCCAGCAUUGAUGGUGCUCACUCAGAUUGAGAUGGAACCUACGAAUGACGAGUCAGGUUUAUGUUGAUGAUGCUGUGACUUUUCCUGAAAAAAAACAUUUUAUUUGGGUAUUAGCACUUUUAUUAUUAAUGGGCAUCAUCUUUGCAGCAUCUCUGAGAAAAAAAAUUUUGAGGGAAUCAUAAAGAACAAAGAAACAUAAAUUCAGGAGGAACAACAAAGGAUCACCAUUAAAAACUUCAAAUACUGCAGCUGCUACUUCUGCCUAGAUGGGGGAGCAGUGUUUUCAGAUUAAGUACAGGAAGAUACUCAAAAGAGAAAUUAUUUCUUUCCCUGCAUGUUUAUUGAGUCUCUUAUAGAUGCUUUAUGUUAAAAGUAGCUCCUGAUUUCAUAAUAUAUUACUAAUCUUCUGAAAUUUUAAUUUUUACAAUGUAACUCCCUUGUUAGAAUUUAACAUAUGAUUUUCAAAUUGCUUUUGAAAUCUCCAGAAAGUAUACAUUUACAAGAUCUUUUAUGCAGAAGAUUUCAGAAAGUGUAAAGAAUUCUUUUUUCACCAUACUCUUUUAGUCACUAUUAAACAGAAAUAAACAGGUAGAAUGGGGAUAUAUUCUUAUAGAUUCUCUCAUGAUUUUUCUCUCAGCUUCCAUCACCAGUGAGAACAUCAUAAAGAAAUCCUAUUAAUUAAGAAAUCCAUAUUAAUUGGUUUAGACAAUUUACAUUCGAUUAAGUGCAGAAGUAUUGUUCGCUUCACCAGCUUUUGUCUGGGAACGUGAAUCUGCAUCUGAUCCUAAAUCUACACAGGUCCAGUACAGUCAUCCCAGAUGCCUGCUGUAAUUGAAGAAUCAACCUACUGAGAGACUGUGUGUGAGCGUGUACAGAUGAAUGUCUUAUCUGCCUGCAUCCAUGUGCUGCAGUUUUGCUCUGGCUCUGAAAACAUCCCUUCUCCUUCUCUUGGUCUUUCUCCCUUUUCACUCCAAAUCCACCUAUGUUGUUUGUUCUUACGCAGACUGGAAACAGCUUUAAUUGUUCUUACACUCAUCCCAGGAUGUGCCUAAAGUAAUGAGGAAAUUAUUUUAAUGAGAAUAUUGUAUCCAUUAGUAAUUUUUCAGUGAUUAGGUAGAUAUAUAAUAGGAAAAUGGGGCUAGUUUUUACUGUUCUGGGUAGCUGAUGGACUUUCAAAACUUCUUGGAAACAAAGUGAUGACGUGGAUCUCGUACUUCGUGCCUCUCUAUCUCAUUUUCUCAAAAGAGCAACCAUAUGGGUCUAAGUGAAGCCUGUUGCAGUUUGAAUUACAGAUAAAAUACUGGAAAUCCUGUACAGUGUAAUCAAAAAAGAAAAAGGAUACACAUGGGAGCAAAAGUUAGCAAUAGGAAGAAAACGGGAAAAAAAUACUCAGCAACAACCUACUAACAAGGUUUACUAAUACAGUCAGCAGGCCCAAUAAAAUGUAAAAAUAGAAACAUGCAUUGCAUGGGGAUAGCUAGCAUAAUUCAAAUGUGUCACAGUUCCUCCACUCAGAAAAAGGGGGAUUUUCACUACUGGAUGAAAAAAUGACCCAGACAUGUUCUCUGUACCCAAUAACUUCAGCAGUGAUUUGACAUUCGUCAGUGUUUGAUGACAAGGCCUAUAUAUUUGAUAAAGUAUAGCAUUACCAGAGAGGCAUACAGGAAUUGAAAACAAAUACAGCCUUUGCAAAACUAUGCAGUUGCACCAAAUUCUUCAAAGGAAGCCUUGCUUGGAAGACUAGGAUCUUUUCACUGCUGUGAAAUUUAAGACAACAAUAUGGGUUGGAAGAAAAGAGAUGACAUUUCUGUUGAGGGGAUUCAUAUGCACAGUAUGUAGGAGGAAGGGUAACAGAAUUUUAACUGACAUACACAGGGUCAGGUUUGUGGUUCAAGUACAAGAACAGAGUUACUGCUUCUAGGGGACCUGUGGCAGGAUGUGAAAUCUGAGCAGCAGCGUCUGAGACAUGAUUCAUAGGGUAUGCCGCGAAACAGUGCAUGCUGCAGGAACCCAAGAUGUUUAGGUGCAACAAAUGGAUCUGGAACAAAUAAAGUUCUUCAGAGCAGUCCUUUCUGACCCUUUUCAAUUUCUUAAGACCUUUUAACAAUGAGGAUACCAGAAUUAUAGAACAUGGCAUUAAAGAUAUCAUACUUCUAGUUCUGAUGUCACAUACUUCUACAGCCCUGGUAAAAUUAAAUAUGGCCAAGGACAUCAGCUGGUUACUCAGGAUAUGGAGAAGGCUGAGGUACUCAACGAUUUUUUUGCCUUCAUUGGUAAGGGUUCAAGCCACACCAACCAAAUAUCAGAAGUUAAAGGCAGGAAUUGGGAAAUCGAAGAACCAUCCACUGUAGAAGAAGAUUGGGUUUGGAACCUGAGGAUGCACAAGUCAUGGGACAUGAUGAGAUGCAUCCAUGGGUCCUGAGGGAACAGGCAAAUGAAGUUGCUAAGGCACUAUGCAUCAUUUUUGAGAAGUCACGGCAGUCCAGUGAAGCUUCUGCUGACUGGAGAAGGAGAAACAACCCGAUUUUUAAAAAGGAAGACCUGGAGAACUACAUGAUGGUCAGCCUUACCUCUGUACCUGGCAAGAUCAUGGAGCAGAUCCUCCUGGAAACUAUGCUAAGCCACAUGGAAAAUAAGGAGGCAAUUGGUGACAGCCAGCAUGGCAUCACUAGGGCAAAUCAUGCCUGAGAAAUCUGGUGGCCUUCUACAGUGGGGUUACAGUAUUGGUGGAUAAGGGAAGAACAACAGGCUUUCCAGAAAAAUACCUGAGAACUAUUGAAGUAUAUCACCACCCUUACAAGCAACUUUAUAAAGUAACAAGAAAUUAAACAAUUUUUCCAUAAAUCCACAUCAGAUGUUACUGCUAUAUUCCCAACUUGUAAUUCCUUAUUGCACCCAGUAUCAAUAUUUAUUGUCUGGGAUUAAUGUCAGAUAAAUCAGUCUACUGCUCUGUGUUCUGACUUGUCCGAUUUGAAUAUUUACAGUCUUCGCGUCUUGCAGAAUUUCUGCAAUAAUUUAAACUUUAUUAAAGAUUAAUAUGGUUUCAUGCUUCCUGAGAUUACACACACAAACUCCUUUAGGCCUCUCAAAAUCAAAUUCUUUAGGAUUUGUGUACUUUAAAAUGUUUCUCUCUAAGAAAAGCUGUUCAAUAUUCUUCUUGUUAAUGACCAGGAAGGCACUUACUCAUUAUCAUAUGACACAAAUGCAUCACACAUCCUUUCAAGCACAGAAAAAAUUUAUUUGUUAAACAGUUCUACUUUUUUUGUUAACACUUUUAAAAAAAUCUAAACAUAAAAGGCCUAAGAUUUAGAAAACUUCAGCUGUUCCUAAAACUACUGACCAUGUACUUUCCUUGAUGUUCUCAUCCAUUUUUCUAUGCUUUACAACUUGUAAUCCUUGACAGAUUUGCCUUUUUUCUGCUUCUAGUAUAUAUUUAUUUCAAACUGGUGUGUUCACUUCCCUGCUAAACCAGAAAUGUAUCUUUCUGAAUCUCCCAUCUUUCUUUAUCUCAAUACCCUGACUUAUUUCAAUCAAUUUCUUCUUUACAGCUACCUCUUACUUUGAUACAGUUUUUCUCUGUAAUGUUCUUUACACCUACUCAACCAUUUUCCACACGUUUCCUUCAGGAGCAAGUCCAAAUAUAUGUCUUGGGAACAAGGAGACAUAGCCAUUUGUCCCUGUGUGUGUGUAUAGCACAGAUUGGAACCUUGUUUGCAGAUAGUGAAUGUAGCCAUAUCUAAAUACUCAGGCAAGCACUUUCAUACUAGUAAGCAUCUUUGCCUUAAUAAAGCCUGAAGUUGCUAAUUUCCUUAAUAAGAUUUUUAUUUGUCAGAAAAUAAUUAGCUAAGGUUUUAGGAAUUCAACAAAUGCAUAGCUCCAAGUUAUACUUCUGAUCUGAAGUUCCUCAUAAUAACAGUGUAAUAUUGUUUCCCAAAAUUAUGAAAGAAAACGUUAUCUUGUUUUUCAGCCUUAACCACUGUGUGAGAGGCCUGCACUGGUAAACUCAUUUUAGGCUUACUCCUAUUACAUUGGUCCAUAUACAGUUACUUUCCCAUGAAUAUGAGAAGUUUAAAACUGUAUUGAAUAUUCCAUUUCCUCACUUUUUACUCAUUUCCUGGUGGGCCAAAACCUCUAUCAGGGCAAGGUCCUUGAUUAUUUACAGGAACUAAAGGAGCCUAACCUUUUAACACAGUUAAGAAUGGCCUCUCAUAACCCCUGAGAUAUCUCCUUCUGGACACAGUCUGCCAAACUGGAAAUGGAAAGAAGGAACCGAGAUGUGACCUGACGCACUUCUGCCUUCUAACUCAUGACUCUAAGAAAAAUAAGUUGUUUUUUUCUCUUUCACAUCUGCCUUCCAGCACGGAAAGUUGCCCCUAAUGCCCUUAAUGCCAACCUUACCUCUAGAAUCACUGAGGUAGAAACAUUUUUAAAAAAUAAACCUAUUGGCAAUUGCAAUGAGUAUUGAGAUAAAACCUGACA